GGUGGCUUCGGCUACCACUUACAGAUGGACCCGCGGCGCAUUAGCUAGUUGGUGAGGUAACGGCUCACCAAGGCAACGAUGCGUAGCCGACCUGAGAGGGUGAUCGGCCACACUGGGACUGAGACACGGCCCAGACUCCUACGGGAGGCAGCAGUAGGGAAUCUUCCGCAAUGGACGAAAGUCUGACGGAGCAACGCCGCGUGAGUGAUGAAGGUUUUCGGAUCGUAAAGCUCUGUUGUUAGGGAAGAACAAGUACCGUUCGAAUAGGGCGGUACCUUGACGGUACCUAACCAGAAAGCCACGGCUAACUACGUGCCAGCAGCCGCGGUAAUACGUAGGUGGCAAGCGUUGUCCGGAAUUAUUGGGCGUAAAGGGCUCGCAGGCGGUUUCUUAAGUCUGAUGUGAAAGCCCCCGGCUCAACCGGGGAGGGUCAUUGGAAACUGGGGAACUUGAGUGCAGAAGAGGAGAGUGGAAUUCCACGUGUAGCGGUGAAAUGCGUAGAGAUGUGGAGGAACACCAGUGGCGAAGGCGACUCUCUGGUCUGUAACUGACGCUGAGGAGCGAAAGCGUGGGGAGCGAACAGGAUUAGAUACCCUGGUAGUCCACGCCGUAAACGAUGAGUGCUAAGUGUUAGGGGGUUUCCGCCCCUUAGUGCUGCAGCUAACGCAUUAAGCACUCCGCCUGGGGAGUACGGUCGCAAGACUGAAACUCAAAGGAAUUGACGG
rnacentral:rRNA from 1 species